UUCUGGGGGUCCGGAAAAUUUAUGCAUCAUCCCCCAUUUGGGCUUUAAUUUACCCCUAAAAAGAGUCCAAAUAAAGUAGCUACCUCAGCCAACAUAUAUGGACCAAUCUCCCCACGCGCCGCCGAUGCCGCCGCCGGUACACCAGGACGACGCCGACGAAGGCGAUGAUGCUGUUAAACGGCUCAACGAGUGCUCUUCUGUUUACUUAUCCUUACAGGAUUGUCUGAUCAAUACUGAUAGGAAUUGGAAGUCUUGUCAAAAGGUAUUCCAAAUGAAGCAGAAUGGAUAUUGGGAAAACAUUUAGCUGAUUGAUUGAAACAUAGUAUACCGGUAUCUCCAGUCAGAUUCACAUGUGCAAGUUUUCAGCGGGCAUGUGAGAAGGGGCACAACUGCACGCUUUCAUGUUCAGAUGAUAAGUUCAGGCUCUUAAGGCGUGUAAUGAAAGAAGACAGAAAGACAAAAGGAGUUGAGAAGCAUUUUGAAGUUGGAGGCUUACAGUUACUUUUUCUGCUGAUUUUUUUCCCAAUGGGGGCUAACAAAGAUCCACAGAAAUAACUGAUCAUUGUUGGUGGAAUUAAUAAACUCUGAGAUGAAUAUGACUUUAAAGUAUAAAACGUGUCUAUUUUCUUUGUGUGUUCUAUGUUUAUUAUCCUUAAGCAAGGGUCUAUCGGAAACAACUUCUAGUAAGGUCACCUUACACACUCCACUUGUGGACUACACUGGGUUUGUUGUUGUUGUUGUUGUAUUCUAUGUUUAUUAUGCUGUUAGUUUUGGUU